rnacentral:rRNA from 1 species
AUUGAACGCUGGCGGCAUGCCUUACACAUGCAAGUCGAACGGUAACAGGUCUUCGGAUGCUGACGAGUGGCGAACGGGGGAGUAAUACAUCGGAACGUGCCCGAUCGUGGGGGAUAACGGAGCGAAAGCUUGGCUAAUACCCCAUACGAUCUACGGAGGAAAGCGGGUGACCGCAAGGCCUUGCGCGGACGGAGCGGCCGAUGGCAGAUUAGGUAGUUGGUGGGAUAAAAGCUUACCAAGCCGACGAUCUGUAGCUGGUCUGAGAGGACGACCAGCCACACUGGGACUGAGACACGGCCCAGACUCCUACGGGAGGCAGCAGUGGGGAAUUUUGGACAAUGGGCGAAAGCCUGAUCCAGCCAUGCCGCGUGCAGGAUGAAGGCCUUCGGGUUGUAAACUGCUUUUGUACGGAACGAAAAGACUCUUUCUAAUAAAGAGGGUCCAUGACGGUACCGUAAGAAUAAGCACCGGCUAACUACGUG